rnacentral:rRNA from 1 species
GACGAACGCUGGCGGCGUGCUUAACACAUGCAAGUCGAACGGAAAGGCCUGCUUUCCCUUGUGGAUUGCGGGUACUCGAGUGGCGAACGGGUGAGUAACACGUGAGUGAUCUGCCCCCAACUUGGGUAUAAGCCUGGGAAACUGGGUCUAAUUCCCGAUAGGACUGCAGGGUGGUGCCUGUGGUGGAAAACGAUUUUCUAGUGGUUGGGGAUGAGCUCGCGGCCUAUCAGCUUGUUGGUGGGGUACUGGCCUACCAAGGCGGCGACGGGUAGCCGGCCUGAGAGAGUGGACGGCCACAUUGGGACUGAGAUACGGCCCAGACUCCUACGGGAGGCAGCAGUGGGGAAUAUUGGACAAUGGGCGGAAGCCUGAUGCAGCGACGCCGCGUGGGGGAUGACGGCCUUCGGGUUGUAAGCUCCUUUCGACCGCGAGGAAGCCACCUGGUUGGAAGGGUGGUGACGGUAGUGGUAGAAGAAGCACCGGCUAACUACGUG